ACCUUAUGGCAUAAAUCAACAAAGAAUGACCUCACUUUGUUGUAUGGAAAGUCUCAUUAGUAAGGAAGCAUGUAUGAAUUUUCUGAGUCAAGACCUAUAGUGUUUGUUUUGGUUAUGUUAUGUUAUGUUAGGUUAAGUUUAAGGUAUCUUCAAACACAUGAUAGCCAGCACCUUAUGGCAUAAAUCAACAAAGAAUGACCUCACUUUGUUGUAUGGAAAGUCUCAUUAGUAAGGAAGCAUGUAUGAAUUUUCUGAGUCAAGACCAAUAGUGUUUGUUUUGGUUAUGUUAUGUUAGGUUAGGUUAAGUUUAGGGUAUCUUCAAACACAUGAUAGCCAGCACCUUAUGGCAUAAAUCAACAAAGAAUGACCUCACUUUGUUGUAUAGAAAGUCUCAUUAGUAAGGAAGCAUGUAUGAAUUUUCUGAGUCAAGACCAAUAGUGUUUGUUUGGGGUUUUGUUAUGUUAGGUUAAGUUUAGGGUAUCUUCAAACACAUGAUAGCCAGUACCUUAUGGCAUAAAUCAACAAAGAAUGACCUCACUUUGUUGUAUAGAAAGUCUCAUUAGUAAGGAAGCAUGUAUGAAUUUUCUGAGUCAAGACCAAUAGUGUUUGUUUUGGUUAUGUUAGGUUAGGUUAAGUUUAGGGUAUCUUCAAACACAUGAUAGCCAGUACCUUAUGGCAUAAAUCAACAAAGAAUGACCUCACUUUGUUGUACAGAAAGUCUCAUUAGUAAGGAAGCAUGUAUGAAUUUUCUGAGUCAAGACCUAUAGUGUUUGUUUUGGUUAUGUUAUGUUAUGUUAUGUUAAGUUUAGGGUAUCUUCAAACACAUGAUAGCCAGCACCUUAUGGCAUAAAUCAACAAAGAAUGACCUCACUUUGUUGUAUAGAAAGUCUCAUUAGUAAGGAAGGAUGUAUGAAUUUUCUGAGUCAAGACCUACAGUGUUUGUUUUGGUUAUGUUAUGUUAUGUUAGGUUAAGUUUAGGGUAUCUUCAAACACAUGAUAGCCAGCACCUUAUGGCAUAAAUCAACAAAGAAUGACCUCACUUUGUUGUAUAGAAAGUCUCAUUAGUAAGGAAGCAUGUAUGAAUUUUCUGAGUCAAGACCAAUAGUGUUUGUUUGGGGUUUUGUUAGGUUAGGUUAAGUUUAGGGUAUCUUCAAACACAUGAUAGCCAGUACCUUUUGGCAUAAAUCAACAAAGAAUGACCUCACUUUGUUGUAUAGAAAGUCUCAUUAGUAAGGAAGCAUAUAUGAAUUUUCCGAGUCAAGACCUAUAGUGUUUGUUUUGGUUAUGUUAGGUUAAGUUUAGGGUAUCUUCAAACACAUGAUAGCCAGUACCUUAUGGCAUAAAUCAACAAAGAAUGGCCUCACUUUGUUGUAUAGAAAGUCUCACUAGUAAGGAAGCAUGUAUGAAUUUUCUGAGUCAAGACCUAUAGUGUUUGUUUUGGUUUUGUUAGGUUAGGUUAGGUUAAGUUUAGGGUAUCUUUAAACACAUGAUAGCCAGCACCUUAUGGCAUAAAUCAACAAAGAAUGACCUCACUUUGUUGUAUAGAAAGUCUCACUAGUAAGGAAGCAUGUAUGAAUUUUCUGAGUCAAGACCUACAGUGUUUGUUUUGGGUUUUGUUAUGUUAAGUUUAGGGUAUCUUCAAACACAUGAUAGCCAGCACCUUAUGGCAUAAAUCAACAAAGAAUGACCUCACUUUGUUGCAUAGAAAGUCUCAUUAGUUAGGAAGCAUGUAUGAAUUUUCUGAGUCAAGACCAACAGUGUUUGUUUUGGUUAUGUUAGGUUAAGUUUAGGGUAUCUUCAAACACGUGAUAGCCAGGACCUUAUGGCAUAAAUCAACAAAGAAUGACCUCACUUUGUUGUAUAGAAAGUCUCAUUAGUAAGGAAGCAUGUAUGAAUUUUCUGAGUCAAGACCAAUAGUGUUUGUUUGGGGUUUUGUUAGGUUAGGUUAGGUUAAGUUUAGGGUAUCUUCAAACACAUGAUAGCCAGCACCUUAAGGUAUAAAUCAACAAAGAAUGACCUCACUUUGUUUUGUGGAAAGUCUCAUUAGUAAGGAAGCAUGUAUGAAUUUUCUGAGUCAAGACCUAUAGUGUGUGUUUGGGGUUUUGUUAGGUUAAGUUUAGGGUAUCUUCAAACACAUGACAGCCAGCACCUUAAGGUAUAAAUCAACAGAGAAUGACCUCACUUUGUUGUAUAGAAAGUCUCAUUAGUAAGGAAGGAUGUAUGAAUUUUCUGAGUCAAGACCUAUAGUAACUGUUUGGGGUUUUGUUAGGUUAGGUUAAGUAACUGUUUGGGGUUUUGUUAGGUUAGGUUAGGUUAAGAUUAGGGUAUCUUCAAACACAUGAUAGCCAGCACCUUAUGGCAUAAAUCAACAAAGAAUGACUUCACUUUGUUGUAUAGAAAGUCUCAUUAGUAAGGAAGCAUAUAUGAAUUUUCCGAGUCAAGACCUAUAGUAACUGUUUGGGGUUUUGUUAGGUUAGGUUAAGUUUAAGGUAUCUUCAAACACAUGAUAGCCAGCACCUUAUGGUAUAAAUCAACAAAGAAUGACCUCACUUUGCUGUAUAGAAAAUCUCAUAAGUAAGGAAGCAUGUUUGAAUUUUCUGAGUCAAGACUUAUAGUGUUUGUUUGGGGUUUUGUUAGGUUAGGUUAGGUUAAGUUUAGGGUAUCUUCAAACACAUGAUAGCCAGCACUUUAUGGCAUAAAUCAACAAAGAAUGACCUCACUUUGUUGUAUAGAAAGUCUCAUAAGUUAGGAAGCAUGUAUGAAUUUUCUGAGUCAAGACCAAUAGUGUUUGUUUUGGGUUUUGUUAGGUUAGGUUAGGUUAAGUUUAGGGUAUCUUCAAACACAUGAUAGCCAGCACCUUAUGGCAUAAAUCAACAAAGAAUGACCUCACUUUGUUGUAUAGAAAGUCUCAUUAGUAAGGCAGCAUGUAUGAAUUUUCUGAGUCAAGACCAAUAGUGUUUGUUUGGGGUUUUGUUAGGUUAAGUUUAGGGUAUCUUCAAACACAUGAUAGCCAGCACCUUAUGGUAUAAAUCAACAAAGAAUGACCUCACUUUGUUGUUUAGAAAGUCUCAUUAGUAAGGAAGCAUGUAUGAAUUUUCUGAGUCAAGACCUAUAGUGUUUGUUUUGGGUUUUGUUAGGUUAGGUUAGGUUAAGUUUAGGGUAUCUUCAAACACAUGAUAGCCAGCACCUUAUGACAUAAAUCAACAAAGAAUGACCUCACUUUGUUGUAUAGAAAGUCUCAUUAGUAAGGAAGCAUGUAUGAAUUUUCUGAGUCAAGACCUAUAAUGUUUGUUUUGGUUUUGUUAGGUUAGGUUAAGUUUAGUGUAUCUUCAAACACAUGAUAGCCAGCACCUUAUGGCAUAAAUCAACAAAGAAUGACCUCACUUUGUUGUAUAGAAAGUCUCAUUAGUAAGGAAGCAUGUAUGAAUUUUCCGAGUCAAGACCAAUAGUGUUUG